AGUGAACGCUGGCGGUAGGCCUAACACAUGCAAGUCGAACGGCAGCACAGUAAGAGCUUGCUCUUACGGGUGGCGAGUGGCGGACGGGUGAGGAAUAAAUCGGAAUCUACUUUUUCGGGGGGGAUAACGUAGGGAAACUUACGCUAAUACCGCAUACGACCGACGGGUGAAAGCAGGGGAUCUUCGGACCUUGCGCGAUGGAAUGAGCCGAUGUCGGAUUAGCUAGUGGGCGGGGUAAAGGCCCACCAAGGCGACGAUCCGUAGCUGGUCUGAGAGGAUGAUCGGCCGCACUGGAACGUGGACACGGACCAUGCUCCUGCGAGAGGGAGCAGAGGGCAAUGUUAGACAAUAGGCGCAAAUAUGGUCCAGCCGUACCACGCGGGAGGCAGCAACCUCCGGUUUGUGAAGACCGUUUGUUGGGAAAAAACAUCAGCAGGCUAAUACGCCGCUGUUCUGACGGUACCCGAAGAAUAAGCACCGGCUAACUUCGUG
rnacentral:rRNA from 1 species